UUUUUUUUUUUUUUUUUUCUUUCUUCUUCUUUUUCCGUGAAUUAAACAAAGAUUAAACUGAGGUUACUAGUCCACUGCUGGAAGUGAAUCACCUGGACAAAUCCCUAUUCAAAGUUACAUUUCACCACAGUGGCUAAAAGAUGCUAAGUCACGCUCAACCAGCCGGAUGCUUUCCAUGGGGAAAAGCUCUUCUUUUUCUUGCCGUGUCAUUAAUGAGACAAGAUUACCCAUACUUUGUAGAGACAGAUACAAAGAAAUCCUAAUGGCCCCAUUUCAUGGCUGUGACUGAGACUGCACCCAGCUCAGUUGAAGGAGGAAGGUGGAGGUCCUGCUCAGAGGCUGCUGCCCCUUUGGCCAUGCUUCCAGCACAGUCGGUGAGUGCCGAGUGAGCUGCAGAGCUGGGGGUGAGCUCAGGGCUUCCCUGGACCCACUGUGCAGAGCGAAUCUCCCCAGAAGCACGAGGGCCGUGCCAUCACCGCUGCAGCAAGGCACAACGCAGCAGGAGCACAGGACAUGCUUGGCCUCUGAAUACCUGCGCCCCGCCUGCUCACCUCUCCCUUGACUGUUUUUCACUCACAGCACUAACAGUUUCAGACAAGUUGUCUAUCGCAGAGGAGUAAGAAGGAACAAAGGCUGGGAGCCAAGGACAGACAACACCAAGCAGAAAAAAGGAAUGUUUGUUGAAAACACAAGAAUAACUGAACCGGCCUCCCCCCAAGAAGGCAUAUUUGCAGCCCUCCAGGCCUUCAAAGAUAUGAAGCCAGAACAGAAUGGAAGGAAGAAUAUUUGUCACCAAAUUCCUUUGUAAGACAAAGCAACAGCUUGCUAAGUCACUGCCUGUAACUUUGCACAACAGCCAUACACUGGUAAAUAAUAGGUAAGCACACACAGGCUGAGUAAAGGUAGCCGUUAAUUGGUAGUAAAGGAUACAAAGAAAACAUACGGUGUGCACAGUAGCUUCCACAUGGUUCCAUUUACAUGUGGUCUAAGAGCACGUACAUAUAUUGCAGUUGAGUGAAGCUCAGAGUCCAGACCUAGGCUGCCUCAUGCAGUGAUGCAGGACUACUGCUGCUGUUGCUAAACCAGACAAAACCCUAGAUGUGCUCCUUUCCCCACCCUUCAAGGCAUUACCUAGUGAAGCUCCUCAGUGGAGCCUUGCUUCAGCUCCAGCCAGACCAUACCACUUCCAGGGCCAGCUGCUUUUCCAAUGUGGAGUCUAACAGCAAGUACUGGCAUCUCUAUCUGGUGUGUGCUCAACUGGGAGCUCUGGUGAAGCACAAUUCACGUUCCCCAGUGGCUCCUCAGUUUGGGCUCAGGCCAAGCUUAUGCAUUCCAGCCAGCUCAGCACUGCUUCUACCCAGGGCGCCUUCGGAGCUUGGACACCUCUGCUCCAUAGUACUCCAGGUUUCAGGAAAAGUUAGCAAGAUUUAUACUAAUCCCAACAUUCUGUCCAAGCUAACAAACCUUCCCUGAGCCUGAAGAGCUCAGUUCUGAAAACAGGAUGGUUUUACAGCUGCCAGCAAUAAGCCAGCUAACAAGCCACUCUGGACCUGCAGACACUCCAAGUGUGAGCACGCUUCUCUCCCAGCACAUUCUCUCAUAGCCCAGGUAAGCUCAGCCCACCUCCCUUGAUACCAGAGCCCAACACACCCAGCAUCAGGCUGGCAAACACCUCUCCAACUCCUGCUACCUUGUGGCUGCUCCCAGGAGCAAAAUCUUUCUUUAAAACCUCCCCUUUACACACCUACCAGUCUGCCUGAUUUUAGGUAAGACAAUUGAGCCUUGCACGAUUGGAAUAGUACUCCAGUAAAACAAGACAUGGUUACAGUUUAAGCAUAUGGAAAUCCUAGAGGCUCUUUUUGUUUAGUUAAGUGACAUUUUAAUUAUGCAGAAGAUGUUAAAGGCAGCAUAGGCCUCACUGUGAAUUAGGUCUUCUUUUGACAAUGACUGACAUUUUACUUCCCACAGAUAUAAUACAUACUCCUUGCAGACAUGAAAUGGUUUAUAAACAGUUAACAACAAAGUCAAAACUAAAAAUGCAUGAGAAUACAGUUAACAAUUAAAAAAAAAAAAAAAACACAACAAAACAACACCCCAUGCCUCUAAGCAUGCACUGUCAAAAUGGAAGAAAAGCACCAAGAAACCUUAGCAUGAAAGACUAUUCCUUUCAGGCCUAUCAGUGUAAAGGCUGGAGCUCAAGACAUGCAACCACUACGAUUUCAGUCCUGAAGGACACAAAAAACGCUUCUUGAAAUGUAAGAUGAUAACUAACAAACAGCUAUCAAACAGCUGCUACUAAUUACUUAAAUCAUAUACUGAAAUCUGCAUGGAGACAACUGAAAAAUGCCUGCAAUGUAAACAUUUCAGCAUUGAUAUAAAAACCAGUUAAGUAGUAAAUACAAGACACCCCUUCAAAACCUGAAAACCCUUGAAAAACCACACACAUGUAUAUGUAUUUCUUUUUAUGCAUCUAUCUAUAGAUAGAUGCUUCAAAGUUCUCAAAGUCUACAAGAAUCUUUUGCAAUCAACUGUAGUAUCACUUGUUGGCCACUAUGGUUAGCUGUAAUAUGAAUGAAUCUCAGACAAGCAAAUUUCACUAACUUUAGGGCACUGUUACAAGGUGUAUAUAUAUUGGCAUGUAACUGUCCAUGUCAUCUUCAAAAUAAAUAAAAAGUAAACUAACUCUGAGGUAAGGGUAGUCUCUGGUGCUGCUAUAAGCAAAAGAAAAAAACCUCAAAUGGUUCAAAGUAAUGUCUUGCAAGUAUGCUAUUUAUAAGCAUUUUUAACAAUACUACCCCCAUGGGAACGAAUCAUACAAGGCAAGAACUUCACAAUACAAACCAACAGAAAUACUAAGCCUUUAUUACAAAGAAAAAAAUAUUCCACAGAAGAGGUCAGCUUGGUUCUAUGCAUGCUGUCAGUCAUAUUCACCUGCUGAGUGUGGAGAAGUGGCUUCUGCUAGAUGUAUUAAUCCCUCAAGAUGCUGUUAGGCUUUGUUCUUAGCCACAAGUGCACGGGCAUUUUGAUUUAACUGAAUUACUUGUUAGAAUGUUGUUGCCAGCAUUAAAUGGGCCAAAAUAAUGAACCUGACUGUUGGACAUGCCAAAAACUGCAAGUGAAAAAUCACACACUGAACAUAG